CCCUAAAUUCCUCAGCUGAGCAGCUGUGAGGCUGGGAGUGUCUCUGAAUGAUUUCAAGUUGUUCUGAGGACCCCAGACUAAAGCCUCCUCUUGCCCAAAGGCAUCUGUCUGCUUGAAGCUGCCUUUGGGAAGCUCACAUCGCCCUGAGGUUAGCGUCCAGGAAGGGAGAAAUCCUUAAGAGAGAAGUUGUUUGAAGACCCUGUGGCCGUCUGUAUUGGAGAGUUAAUUCAGGUUCUUCAUUUAAGAGAGUAAACUCUGGAAGGCCGUGGCUUAUAGGCCCCAGUGAUCACUGGCAGGGAAGGGAAGAGAGCUUUUCUUUUUCUCCCGGUGAGGCUAUUGAGUGGCAGGGGCGGGAGCAGUAAGUGGGCGGGACUGAAUCAGCGCCCUCUGAGCAGCCAAAGACCUGCAGGCACAGGAGCUGCCAUCCUUCCAAGAUGUGGCUUCUCCCGCUGGUCCUGACCUCCCUCGCCUCUUCUGCAACUUGGGCAGGGCAGCCAGCCUCGCCGCCUGUUGUGGACACUGCCCAGGGCCGAGUCCUGGGGAAGUACGUCAGCUUAGAAGGCCUGGCACAGCCGGUGGCCGUCUUCCUGGGAGUCCCUUUUGCCAAGCCCCCUCUCGGAUCCUUGAGGUUUGCUCCGCCGCAGCCUGCAGAACCAUGGAGCUUCGUGAAGAACACCACCUCCUACCCUCCCAUGUGCUGCCAGGACCCAGUAGCGGGGCAGAUGACCUCAGAUCUAUUUACCAACAGAAAGGAGAGGCUCAUUCCGGAGUUUUCUGAAGACUGUCUCUACCUAAAUAUUUACACCCCUGCUGACCUGACAAAGAGGGGCAGACUGCCGGUGAUGGUGUGGAUCCACGGAGGAGGUCUGGUGGUGGGCGGGGCUUCCACCUAUGAUGGACUGGCCCUCGCUGCGCAUGAAAACGUGGUGGUGGUGGCCAUCCAGUACCGCCUGGGCAUCUGGGGAUUCUUCAGCACAGGGGACGAACACAGCCGGGGCAACUGGGGUCACUUGGACCAGGUGGCCGCACUGCACUGGGUCCAGGAGAACAUCGCCAACUUUGGAGGCGACCCAGGCUCUGUGACCAUCUUUGGAGAGUCAGCAGGAGGGGAAAGUGUCUCUGUUCUGGUGUUGUCUCCCUUGGCCAAGAACCUCUUCCACCGGGCCAUCUCUGAGAGUGGCGUGGCCUUCACUGCUGGCCUGGUCAGGAAGGACAUGAAGGCUGCAGCUAAGCAAAUUGCUGUCCUUGCUGGGUGUAAAACCACCACCUCGGCUGUCUUUGUUCACUGCCUGCGCCAGAAGUCGGAGGACGAGCUCUUGGACUUAACGCUGAAGAUGAAAUUUUUCGCUCUUGAUUUGCAUGGAGACCCCAGAGAGAGCCAUCCCUUCCUGACCACUGUGGUGGAUGGAGUGCUGCUGCCCAAGAUGCCUGAAGAGAUUCUGGCUGAAAAGGAUUUCAACACUGUCCCCUACAUCGUGGGAAUCAACAAGCAAGAGUUUGGCUGGCUUCUGCCAACGAUGAUGGGCUUCCCCCUCUCUGAAGGCAAGCUGGACCAGAAGACGGCCACGUCACUCCUGUGGAAGUCCUACCCCAUCGCUAACAUCCCUGAGGAACUGACUCCAGUGGCCACUGACAAGUAUUUGGGGGGGACAGACGACCCCGUCAAAAAGAAAGACCUGUUCCUGGACUUGAUGGGGGAUGUGGUGUUUGGUGUCCCAUCUGUGACGGUGGCCCGUCAACACAGAGAUGCAGGAGCCCCCACCUACAUGUAUGAGUUUCAGUAUCGCCCAAGCUUCUCAUCGGACAAGAAACCCAAGACGGUGAUCGGGGACCACGGGGAUGAGAUCUUCUCCGUCUUUGGGGCUCCAUUUUUAAGAGGUGAUGGCCCUUUGGUGACCACAACCUUGGAGUUAGGAGAUCUGGGUUCAAGUCUUGGUCUCGUGGCCUUGGGCAAGUUCCUCCUUCUUUCCAGGUCUUAAUCCAUCUUAAAGGCGUUGAACGACAAAGGCGCCCAACCUUUCUCUUGGUCUCAUGUGCGUGAUGGAGAAGGUGUAUCCUUGUGCCCUCCCUCAUUCAUGGCCACUCCAAGAAUCCAGCCUCAAUAAAACAGGCGAUGCCCCAGAAGAGGAGGUCAGUCUCAGCAAGACGGUGAUGAAAUUCUGGGCCAACUUUGCUCGCAGUGGGAACCCCAAUGGGGAGGGGCUGCCCCAUUGGCCGAUGUACGACCAGGAAGAAGGGUACCUUCAGAUCGGCGUCAACACCCAGGCAGCCAAGAGGCUGAAAGGUGAAGAAGUGGCCUUCUGGAACGAUCUCCUGUCCAAGGAGGCAGCAAAGAAGCCACCCAAGAUAAAGCAUGCUGAGCUGUGAAGGGGAGGCUCGGCUGACCUUGAGGGCUUGUGGGACCGCAGGCAGGAGCAGUCUACCGAAGGCGUUGAUGGGCCAGGAGGUAUCUUCUUGUGGAGGCUGGGGAAUUAGCGGGUGGGAGUGGCGGAGAUCAGGGAGGGGGAAUUUCUGUAGCUGCGGCCUCAAUUUUAGAAAUAAAUGUUCUUUUGGAGACCAAGUCGGUGUCUCA